rnacentral:hammerhead_ribozyme from 1 species
GUACUAAUGAUGAGUCCCGAAGUAGGAUGAAACGGCCGUCUAGUAC